rnacentral:rRNA from 1 species
GACAGAGGCCCCAAGCGUUUAGGCGGAAUCACUGGGCUUAAAGCGUGUGUAGGCGGACGCCUAAGUGUCUUGUGAAAUCCCACGGCCUCACCCGUGGAACUGCUGGGCAUACUGGGCGUCUUGGGCCAACUAGGGGCAGCCGGAACGAAGCGGUGGAGCGGUGAAAUGCGUAGAUAUCGCUUGGAACGCCGAAGGGUGAAAACAGGCUGCUGGGGUUGCGCCGACG